rnacentral:lncRNA from 1 species
UCAUUUUAUUUUAUUUUAUUUUAGCCAUUGUAAUUUUCUUAGUAAUUUGACUACAAUAGCUACAUCAUAUAGGCCCUUUGGCAAUGACAAUAGCAAGUUCCUAAUUUAGGACAAGUGCAAUAUCCCAUUCCUCCUUUUGUCUUGCAAGUUUCUACACAAUCAUUGGAAUUUCUGCAUUCAAUUUGAGCUUCUACCAUCAAACCUGAAAGUUAAACAUAUCCAUUUUAUACAAAUAAGAUAUUAGUCUAGUACGUGUAAGAUCCCCACUGGAUUCCUAAAGUCAUGAGUUUGAUUCCUGAGAAUGAUAUUUGUUGGGAGGAGCAUUCACGAAUCUGGAAAGAGAUUAGUUCCCUACCUAAAAAUGUGAAGGGAUAACUUUGGUAGUACAAAAAAAUAUAUUAAUUAUAUUAUUCAAGGAAAAUAUAAUUUUCAAAAUUCAAUCUUACUAUCAUCAUUCUACAUAAGUUUCACAAUAUCUAUUUGACUCAAAAAAUGAAAACAAUAACUUAUAUAUAAAUUAAUAACUUUAAGAAUAUACUUGUUCUCUUUAUUGUUUGCAUUAUUCAUGAUUAGAACAUUUGUAUUUUUGUGGUAUGGAUAAAUUAUUGCAUUGUAACGAAGGAAGAUAAUAGGAGAAGAAGGAAGGAGGGUUACCGAAUGCAACUAGAAACAAGAAUACAAAGAGAGCCACUUGAAAUGAUGAUUUCUUCAUAUUUUUCUUCUACAAAAUGAUAUUCCUUGUCUAUUAAUGUGAAU